GUGGCAGUAGCUCAGUGGUAGAUCUCCCGCUUCGUACGCGGGAAAGUCUGAAUUUGAUCCCCGGCUGCUUCC
rnacentral:tRNA from 1 species